rnacentral:rRNA from 1 species
CGUGAGUAACCUGCCCUUGACUCUGGGAUAAGCGUUGGAAACGACGUCUAAUACCGGAUACGAGCUUCCACCGCAUGGUGAGUUGCUGGAAAGAAUUUUGGUCAAGGAUGGACUCGCGGCCUAUCAGCUUGUUGGUGAGGUAAUGGCUCACCAAGGCGACGACGGGUAGCCGGCCUGAGAGGGUGACCGGCCACACUGGGACUGAGACACGGCCCAGACUCCUACGGGAGGCAGCAGUGGGGAAUAUUGCACAAUGGGCGAAAGCCUGAUGCAGCAACGCCGCGUGAGGGACGACGGCCUUCGGGUUGUAAACCUCUUUUAGCAGGGAAGAAGCGAAAGUGACGGUACCUGCAGAAAAAGCACCGGCUAACUACGUGCCAGCAGCCGCGGUAAUACGUAGGGUGCAAGCGUUGUCCGGAAUUAUUGGGCGUAAAGAGCUCGUAGGCGGUUUGUCGCGUCUGCUGUGAAAUCCCGAGGCUCAACCUCGGGUCUGCAGUGGGUACGGGCAGACUAGAGUGCGGUAGGGGAGAUUGGAAUUCCUGGUGUAGCGGUGGAAUGCGCAGAUAUCAGGAGGAACACCGAUGGCGAAGGCAGAUCUCUGGGCCGUUACUGACGCUGAGGAGCGAAAGGGUGGGGAGCAAACAGGCUUAGAUACCCUGGUAGUCCACCCCGUAAACGUUGGGCGCUAGAUGUGGGGACCAUUCCACGGUUUCCGUGUCGUAGCUAACGCAUUAAGCGCCCCGCCUGGGGAGUACGGCCGCAAGGCUAAAACUCAAAGGAAUUGACGGGGGCCCGCACAAGCGGCGGAGCAUGCGGAUUAAUUCGAUGCAACGCGAAGAACCUUACCAAGGCUUGACAUAUACGAGAACGGGCCAGAAAUGGUCAACUCUUUGGACACUCGUAAACAGGUGGUGCAUGGUUGUCGUCAGCUCGUGUCGUGAGAUGUUGGGUUAAGUCCCGCAACGAGCGCAACCCUCGUUCUAUGUUGCCAGCACGUAAUGGUGGGAACUCAUGGGAUACUGCCGGGGUCAACUCGGAGGAAGGUGGGGACGACGUCAAAUCAUCAUGCCCCUUAUGUCUUGGGCUUCACGCAUGCUACAAUGGCCAGUACAAAGGGCUGCAAUACCGUAAGGUGGAGCGAAUCCCAAAAAGCUGGUCCCAGUUCGGAUUGAGGUCUGCAACUCGACCUCAUGAAGUCGGAGUCGCUAGUAAUCGCAGAUCAGCAACGCUGCGGUGAAUACGUUCCCGGGCCUUGUACACACCGCCCGUCAAGUCAUGAAAGUCGGUAACACCCGAAGCCAGUGGCCUAACCGCAAGGAUGGAGCUGUCUAAAGGUGGGAUUGGUAAUUAGGACUAAGUCGUAACAAAGG